rnacentral:rRNA from 1 species
AUGCGCUGGAAAGGAUGGAAAGGAGAGCUCGGGGAGUUGCUGGUGGAGACUGGUGGUGAUGGUGGACAGUGCUCGCUGCUGGGAUGGGAGAGGGAGAUGGUGCUGUCUGUUGUGGUCAUGCCGGUCCAGUGGUCCACUACCUUCAGCAGCGAUGGUGUUGUGGUCAUGCCGGAUUGCCGGUCCACUAGAAGCCCACUGUUCAAUACCUAUCAGUGCCAUUUGAAAUUUGAAGAGAUUGAUGCUGAUGUUUGCGUACUUCUGCUGCUGCUAAUAUUCUCUCUAUGUGUGCUAAACUACAAGAAAGAAUACUAUAAACAAAGGACCAUGCAUUCUAUGCUCCCUCUCUGUCUUUAUCUCUAA